GUGCUUGCUUUGGCAGCGCAUAUACUAAAACUGGAACAAUACAGAAAAGAUUAGCGUGGGCCCUGCACAAGGAUGACACGCAAAUUCAUGAAGCAUUCCAUAUUUUU
ensembl:snRNA U6 U6 spliceosomal RNA